CGGGAGAACACAAAAAUAGAGUUUAAUUACAAGUGAUGGACAGCCUCACGGCCGUAAAAGAAGUGGCCGGCCCCUUUCCUUCUCUUUUUCCCUCCGAUCCAAAAUAAAUGCCGAGGUACUCUCGAAAAAAAAGUAAUUGUCGAAACUUUAUUUCAAAUUUAAACUAAAGCCACAACAAAAAUAAAAUUGGAUUGGAGGAAGUAUGCAAUUACAAUUAUUAUACAAAACAUUAAUGGAUCGAUGUCGAAAGGAAAAAAAAAUGUAAUGUCGAGCUAGCUAGCAAAGCAUGCACAACCGACACAAAUGUGAGAUCGAAUCCAGUUCCUAGC
rnacentral:lncRNA from 1 species